rnacentral:tRNA from 1 species
GGUCGGUUCGUCUAGUGGUUAGGACACCGCCCUUUCACGGCGGCGACACGGGUUCAAAUCCCGUACCGACUACCA